ACGGAAACCUGUGACCUCAGUUCAUCUGUAGCUGGUCACAUGAUCAUCUGAUUUGCAUAAAGAAUGUCAACUUUGUGAAAUGACCAAUGAUAAAGAGGCAUGGACGUGAAGCAACAAUCUUGUAUGAAGUUAACUUUGGAUGUUCAAGCAUGGCUGGGUACAGUGACAAUCAGGGCAGACAAUGUGUGCCUAAACAGCAGCAGCAGCAGCAGCCUUAUCCCAAUGGAGAGAAGCAAGAGAGGACUUUCAGCCACAUUCAACAGCAAUGACAGGCACUUCAACUCAAGAAUCUACCUGAAGACGACACAGGGGAAUCCAUGUCUAAAUCACCACCAGUGCUCAUGGGUUUUUGGGAGGAUUUUUUAGCCCCCAGGACUCAGUUUGGAUGGAAAGUACUAGGGCAAAAAUUAUCUACCUCACUGUCAACAGAGACACUUCCUCAAGGUUGCUACCACAAUGCAUCAUACUUCCUCUAUAUUUACAUAAAUUAAUAUUCAUGAGGCUAAACCAUUUUUUGAUAGGGGUGCAUUUUGUAAGGGUUGCUCAAUUCUCAGCAAAUGAGAUGAUUCAUUCUGCAGGUUUGACCAGGGAAUGUAUUCACACACAUAAACAGGAAUAGAUGUUGCAUACAGACAAUCAAAGGCCUAAAUAUAUCUGAUGAUAACAAUAACAAACAUCCCUAAAACCCUCCCCAUAAAAUGGUUUGUUCCAUACUGGAGCUAUAAAUAGCAGUGACAACACAGCCAUGUGAUUACCAUAUCAGACAGGCUGAGGAGAAACAGUAAUGACAUGUAGUUUCAUAGCAGUGGCUGGCUAGCUUGCAGGCCAUUUAGACAUGGGCAAUGUACAUAUUGAUUGCAGCCCUAUCUACAGUGCAACUGAUGCACAGCUUGACACGUUUUUAUAACAUGCAUAAUGUACUCAGAUUACUGAGAACGGUGCAGGAAUCUAUACUGAAAUGUCAACUAAUGCAAUAACCCAGAUGUUCUUAUCCAUUAAGUUGUCUGUUUUCUUAUCGACUCCUAAACUGAGAAUGCCAAUCAAACAGUCAACAGUGUUGUCUGCUGCAAAGUGCUGUGUAAAAACAACAUGUAUUGUGGCUCUAUUUCUUGUAAGAAAUAAUAAAUUUGUAAAUGCCCUAA